CAGUCGCCGCGGUAAUACGAAGGGGGCUAGCGUUGCUCGGAAUGACUGGGCGUAAAGGGCGCGUAGGCGGCGAUCAAAGUCAGGCGUGAAAUUCCUGGGCUCAACCUGGGGGCUGCGCUUGAUACUUGGUUGCUUGAGUGGGGAAGAGGGUCGUGGAAUUCCCAGUGUAGAGGUGAAAUUCGUAGAUAUUGGGAAGAACACCGGUGGCGAAGGCGGCGACCUGGUCCUUGACUGACGCUGAGGCGCGAAAGCGUGGGGAGCAAACAGGAUUAGAUACCCCGGUAGUCCCUGUCUCUUAUAC
rnacentral:rRNA from 1 species